GAUGAACGCUGGCGGCGUGCCUAAUACAUGCAAGUCGAGCGAACUGAUUAGAAGCUUGCUUCUAUGACGUUAGCGGCGGACGGGUGAGUAACACGUGGGCAACCUGCCUGUAGGACUAGGAUAACUUCGGGCAACCGAAGCUAAUACCGGAUAGAAUCUUCUCCUUCAUGGGAGAUGAUUGAAAGAUGGUUUCGGCUAUCACUUACAGAUGGGCCCGCGGUGCAUUAGCUAGUUGGUGAGGGAACGGCUCACCAAGGCAACGAUGCAUAGCCGACAUGAGAGGGUGAUCGGCCACACUGGGACUGAGACACGGCCCAGACUCCUACGGGAGGCAGCAGUAGGGAAUCUUCCGCAAUGGACGAAAGUCUGACGGAGCAACGCCGCGUGAGUGAUGAAGGCUUUCGGGUCGUAAAACUCUGUUGUUAGGGAGGAACAAGUACGAGAGUAACUGCUCGUACCUUGACGGUACCUAACCAGAAAGCCACGGCUAACUACGUGCCAGCAGCCGCCGUAA
rnacentral:rRNA from 1 species